CGCCUGUUGCGCCUUGGCCAUGGCGCGCGGGCGCACUGCGGAGCCACCGAAUGGAGGGUUGUAGCGCGCGCCGCUUGGAUGCCUUGCCGCUGCAGGCAAACAGACGAAGCCGCGCCGGCCGCAAGGGCAGCGCGCCGCGCGCAUCGCCCCGCCGUACGCCGCUGCUGAAGCGCGCUCGCUCGCUCUCACGCCGCCGUUGGCUCCCGCGUCUCGGAGUUAAACCGUCGACGCCGGGGGCAGCCAGCCAGCCAGCCCUGGCCGCUGCUGCUGCUACUGCUACUGCUGCAAGAGCCGGGCAAGUCCAUCCUCGUCGCCGUCGAACCGCGGAGCAAGCGUUUUGUCGCAGGGCGCACUACGUCGACCGUGUCCUGGCAUGCUGCAUCGGGCAACAUUGCUUCAGGGACGUGAGUCCUGCUGAUUGAACAUCAUCGCUGCUGGCUACCGACGCUAAACGUUGCAGUGCCCUGGACGUGGAGGCGUACAGGACGGCGCGAUGUGUGCUGCCGCCCUGUGGGCGGCGGCGCUCCUCACCGUGCUGUCGACUGCGCUGCUUUUGCAGACGACGCUGCUGCUACCGGCCGCGACGCAGGCAUCGGCGAAUUUUGUG